GUCCACGCCGUAAACGAUGAGUACUAGCUGUCGGAGGUUACCCCCUUCGGUGGCGCAGCUAACGCAUUAAGUACUCCGCCUGGGAAGUACGCUCGCAAGAGUGAAACUCAAAAGGAAUUGACGGGGACCCGCACAAGUAGCGGAGCAUGUGGUUUAAUUCGAAGCAACGCGAAGAACCUUACCUAAGCUUGACAUCCUUCUGAUCUCUCCCUAAAUCGGAGAUUUCCCUUCGGGGACAGAAGUGACAGGUGGUGCAUGGUUGUCGU
rnacentral:rRNA from 1 species